rnacentral:piRNA from 1 species
UCAGGAAUCUGUGUAUUAGUGGUGAAGGC